rnacentral:rRNA from 1 species
AUUGAACGCUGGCGGCAGGCCUAACACAUGCAAGUCGAGCGGAUGAGUGGAGCUUGCUCCAUGAUUCAGCGGCGGACGGGUGAGUAAUGCCUAGGAAUCUGCCUGGUAGUGGGGGACAACGUUUCGAAAGGAACGCUAAUACCGCAUACGUCCUACGGGAGAAAGUGGGGGAUCUUCGGACCUCACGCUAUCAGAUGAGCCUAGGUCGGAUUAGCUAGUUGGUGAGGUAAAGGCUCACCAAGGCGACGAUCCGUAACUGGUCUGAGAGGAUGAUCAGUCACACUGGAACUGAGACUCGGUCCAGACUCCUACGGGAGGCAGCAGUGGGGAAGAUUGGACAAUGGGCGAAAGCCUGAUCCAGCCAUGCCGCGUGUGUGAAGAAGGUCUUCGGAUUGUAAAGCACCUUAAGUUGGGAGGAAGGGCAGUAAGUUAAUACCUUGCUGUUUUGACGUUACCAACAGAAUAAGCACCGGCUAACUUCGUGCCAGCCGCCGCCGUAAUAC